CCAGCUACUAUGAGGAAAAAUUAACUCUGUCCUAACUGGAACCAGGACAGUAGCUCUGGAAGUCAUAGUGGUUAUGAAGAGGAAAUUCUGGGAAAACGUGUCAUUGGAUAACCAUAAUGAUGAAAGAAGGAGACUGGAAAAAGAACCCCUUUCUGCUGUUUCUCUGAAAGCAGAAUCUUGGAAUCUUGUUUAAAUCUCUACUGCCACAGGAUCAGGCCUGCAUUAAGGCAGAGAGCAAUCCAAAUACUGGAGAAGGUGGAUAAACUCGAGAGUUACAUCAAAAAAAUAUAUAUUGUGUGUUAUUUGGUUUAAUUGCAGUGAAAUUAAACGAGAAUUCUAUUUUGAGUUAUUAUCUUGCAUUAGACUAAGUAUCUCAGAGUGAUUUAUAGAUCUGAAUGAGUUAAGUGUCAGGCUGAGAAAGAUCAUUACUACACCAUUUUACAUAAGCAUAUUUUUAUGUGCCAAGGAAACUACAGCUUGUUCCUCAGUGAACCCUCCAGUCAAAAAGCAAAAUGAAACAAAAUCGAAAUCACGGAUUCCAAAGGAGAGGGAGUUAGGAGAAUGAGGAUUUUAGAGGCUUGCUUGACAGUAGCUUUCACUUCUUUUCUCACCUGAAACCAACAGCCUUAUCACUACCACCUGGAAUCAAAAAAGUAAUUUGUAUCCACUUAAAUUGUUAAAUGGAAACCACCUAAGUUCAUUAGAGCCCACUGGAAAAGAGUUGGUCACGUAAGGUUUAAAGCAUGGGGGUGUUCUUUCUCUGUUGGGAUAUUUUUGCAGCUUUUUAUUUCAUUGGAAUAGACUAGCUGAUAUUGACAUAGUCUCUGUGGGAUUCUUUUGCAACACUUGAGGAAUGACGCUUUCAUUGAAAAAGUGAAAGUGCCAGCAGUGAGACUAAGUACAUUGCUGGUAGCCACAGCAACAACGAAGCAAAAGCUGGACUCUUAUGAUUGGUAGCUGCACAUCCAUGACUGGAACAAGGAAUGGUCUGAACGUUUCCUUAUCUAGCAAAAAUAACAUCCUGUACAUGCGGCACAAGACUGCAGGUUUCAGCUCUUUAUUGCAGGAUGAAAUAUAAAAGAGAGAAGAAUGGGGAGGGAGCAAUAAAAAUAACACAAAACUAAAACCCA
rnacentral:lncRNA from 1 species